GCUGUGGCUGAAUGGUAAAACAUCUGCUGCUUUGCAUGCAGAAGAUCCCAGGUUCAAUCCCCAGCAUCUCCA